rnacentral:rRNA from 1 species
ACUAUCGUUAACUGAAUACAUAGGUUAACGAGGCGAACCGGGGGAACUGAAACAUCUAAGUACCCCGAGGAAAAGAAAUCAACCGAGAUUCCCCCAGUAGCGGCGAGCGAACGGGGAGCAGCCCAGAGUCUGAAUCAGCUUGUGUGUUAGUGGAACGGUCUGGAAAGUCCGACGGUACAGGGUGAUAGUCCCGUACACCAAAAUGCACAGGCUGUGAACUCGAAGAGUAGGGCGGGACACGUGGUAUCCUGUCUGAAUAUGGGGGGACCAUCCUCCAAGGCUAAAUACUCCUGACUGACCGAUAGUGAACCAGUACCGUGAGGGAAAGGCGAAAAGAACCCCGGCGAGGGGAGUGAAAAAGAACCUGAAACCGUGUACGUACAAGCAGUGGGAGCACCUUCGGGUGUGACUGCGUACCUUUUGUAUAAUGGGUCAGCGACUUAUAUUCUGUAGCAAGGUUAACCGUAUAGGGGAGCCGCAGGGAAACCGAGUCUUAACUGGGCGUUAAGUUGCAGGGUAUAGACCCGAAACCCGGUGAUCUAGCCAUGGGCAGGUUGAAGGUUGGGUAACACUAACUGGAGGACCGAACCGACUAAUGUUGAAAAAUUAGCGGAUGACUUGUGGCUGGGGGUGAAAGGCCAAUCAAACCGGGAGAUAGCUGGUUCUCCCCGAAAGCUAUUUAGGUAGCGCCUCGUGAACUCAUCUUCGGGGGUAGAGCACUGUUUCGGCUAGGGGGUCAUCCCGACUUACCAACCCGAUGCAAACUACGAAUACCGAAGAAUGUUAUCACGGGAGACACACGGCGGGUGCUAACGUCCGUCGUGAAGAGGGAAACAACCCAGACCGCCAGCUAAGGUCCCAAAGUCAUGGUUAAGUGGGAAACGAUGUGGGAAGGCACAGACAGCCAGGAUGUUGGCUUAGAAGCAGCCAUCAUUUAAAGAAAGCGUAAUAGCUCACUGGUCGAGUCGGCCUGCGCGGAAGAUGUAACGGGGCUAAACCAUGCACCGAAGCUGCGGCAGCGACACUAUGUGUUGUUGGGUAGGGGAGCGUUCUGUAAGCCUGCGAAGGUGACCUGUGAGGGUUGCUGGAGGUAUCAGAAGUGCGAAUGCUGACAUAAGUAACGAUAAAGCGGGUGAAAAGCCCGCUCGCCGGAAGACCAAGGGUUCCUGUCCAACGUUAAUCGGGGCAGGGUGAGUCGACCCCUAAGGCGAGGCCGAAAGGCGUAGUCGAUGGGAAACAGGUUAAUAUUCCUGUACUUGGUGUUACUGCGAAGGGGGGACGGAGAAGGCUAUGUUAGCCGGGCGACGGUUGUCCCGGUUUAAGCAUGUAGGCUGAUUGUCCAGGCAAAUCCGGAUAAUCAAGGCUGAGGUGUGAUGACGAGGCACUACGGUGCUGAAGUAACAAAUGCCCUGCUUCCAGGAAAAGCCUCUAAGCAUCAGGUAACAUUAAAUCGUACCCCAAACCGACACAGGUGGUCAGGUAGAGAAUACCAAGGCGCUUGAGAGAACUCGGGUGAAGGAACUAGGCAAAAUGGUGCCGUAACUUCGGGAGAAGGCACGCUGGUGUGUAGGUGAAGCCCCUGCGGGUGGAGCUGAGACCAGUCGAAGAUACCAGCUGGCUGCAACUGUUUAUUAAAAACACAGCACUGUGCAAACACGAAAGUGGACGUAUACGGUGUGACGCCUGCCCGGUGCCGGAAGGUUAAUUGAUGGGGUUAUCCGUAAGGAGAAGCUCUUGAUCGAAGCCCCGGUAAACGGCGGCCGUAACUAUAACGGUCCUAAGGUAGCGAAAUUCCUUGUCGGGUAAGUUCCGACCUGCACGAAUGGCGUAAUGAUGGCCAGGCUGUCUCCACCCGAGACUCAGUGAAAUUGAACUCGCUGUGAAGAUGCAGUGUACCCGCGGCAAGACGGAAAGACCCCGUGAACCUUUACUAUAGCUUGACACUGAACAUUGAGCCUUGAUGUGUAGGAUAGGUGGGAGGCUUUGAAGCGUGGACGCCAGUCUGCGUGGAGCCAACCUUGAAAUACCACCCUUUAAUGUUUGAUGUUCUAACGUUGGCCCCUGACCGGGGUUGCGGACAGUGUCUGGUGGGUAGUUUGACUGGGGCGGUCUCCUCCCAAAGCGUAACGGAGGAGCACGAAGGUUAGCUAAUCCUGGUCGGACAUCAGGAGGUUAGUGCAAUGGCAUAAGCUAGCUUGACUGCGAGCGUGACGGCGCGAGCAGGUGCGAAAGCAGGUCAUAGUGAUCCGGUGGUUCUGAAUGGAAGGGCCAUCGCUCAACGGAUAAAAGGUACUCCGGGGAUAACAGGCUGAUACCGCCCAAGAGUUCAUAUCGACGGCGGUGUUUGGCACCUCGAUGUCGGCUCAUCACAUCCUGGGGCUGAAGUAGGUCCCAAGGGUAUGGCUGUUCGCCAUUUAAAGUGGUACGCGAGCUGGGUUUAGAACGUCGUGAGACAGUUCGGUCCCUAUCUGCCGUGGGCGCUGGAGAAUUGAGGGGGGCUGCUCCUAGUACGAGAGGACCGGAGUGGACGCAUCACUGGUGUUCGGGUUGUCAUGCCAAUGGCACUGCCCGGUAGCUAAAUGCGGAAGAGAUAAGUGCUGAAAGCAUCUAAGCACGAAACUUGCCCCGAGAUGAGUUCU